rnacentral:rRNA from 1 species
CCUACGGGUGGCAGCAGUGGGGGAUAUUGCACAAUGGGGGGAACCCUGAUGCAGCGACGCCGCGUGGGUGAAGGAGUAUUUCGGUAUGUAAAGCCCUAUCGGCAGGGAAGAAAUUGGACGGUACCUGACUAAGAAGCCCCGGCUAACUACGUGCCAGCAGCCGCGGUAAUACGUAGGGGGCAAGCGUUAUCCGGAUCCACUGGGUGUAAAGGGAGCGUAGACGGCCAUGCAAGCCAGGGGUGAAAGCCCGGGGCCCAACCCCGGCACUGCCCUUGGAACUGCAUGGCUAGAGUGCGGGAGGGGCAGGCGGAAUUCCUGGUGUAGCGGUGAAAUGCGUAGAGAUCAGGAGGAACACCGGCGGCGAAGGCGGCCUGCUGGACCGCGACUGACGUUGAGGCUCGAAAGCGUGGGGAGCGAACAGGAUUAGAUACCCUGGUAGUC